rnacentral:rRNA from 1 species
AGCGAACGCUGGCGGCAGGCUUAACACAUGCAAGUCGAGCGGGCACUUCGGUGUCAGCGGCAGACGGGUGAGUAACACGUGGGAACGUGCCCUUCGGUUCGGAAUAACUCAGGGAAACUUGAGCUAAUACCGGAUACGCCCUUUUGGGGAAAGGUUGACCGCCGAAGGAUCGGCCCGCGUCUGAUUAGCUUGUUGGUGGGGUAGCGGCCUACCAAGGCGACGAUCAGUAGCUGGUCUGAGAGGAUGAUCAGCCACACUGGGACUGAGACACGGCCCAGACUCCUACGGGAGGCAGCAGUGGGGAAUAUUGGACAAUGGGCGCAAGCCUGAUCCAGCCAUGCCGCGUGAGUGAUGAAGGCCUUAGGGUUGUAAAGCUCUUUUGUCCGGGACGAUAAUGACGGUACCGGAAGAAUAAGCCCCGGCUAACUUCGUGCCAGCCGCCGCGGUAACAC